AGUGAACGCUGGUGGUAGGCCUAACACAUGCAAGUCGAACGGCAGCACAGUAAGAGCUUGCUCUUACGGGUGGCGAGUGGCGGACGGGUGAGGAAUACAUCGGAAUCUACUUUUUCGAGGGGGAUAACGUAGGGAAACUUACGCUAAUACCGCAUACGACCUACGGGUGAAAGCAGGGGAUCUUCGGACCUUGCGCGAUUGAAUGAGCCGAUGUCGGAUUAGCUAGUUGGCGGGGUAAAGGCCCACCAAGGCGACGAUCCGUAGCUGGUCUGAGAGGAUGAUCAGCCACACUGGAACUGAGACACGGUCCAGACUCCUACGGGAGGCAGCAGUGGGGAAUAUUGGACAAUGGGCGCAAGCCUGAUCCAGCCAUACCGCGUGGGUGAAGAAGGCCUUCGGGUUGUAAAGCCCUUUUGUUGGGAAAGAAAAGCAGCAGGUUAAUACCCCGCUGUUCUGACGUUACCCAAAGAAUAAGCACCGGCUAACUUCGUG
rnacentral:rRNA from 1 species